UUCUGGUCACAUCCACAUGUGAAUGUCUUUUCAGACAAAAUAAAUAAGUUUUCUGGAAAGACUAAGUUUUAAAAUAGAAAUAAAUGCAAUUUAUGUCAAUAUCACUCUGAGAGAAAAAUAAAAGCAAUACUGUGCAUGCCAUCAUGAGAUUGAGCCUGUCCAAAAUGGGAUAAGAGUGGUGAGGGCGGGGUGGUCUACAAAGAAGGGGUGACUUCAGGCCUAGAACAGGAGGUCAGGCCCAGGGCCUCAUCCUAGACUUCUGCAUGGACCCUGCAUUCUUCCUGCUGGGUCCCAAACAUCUUGAGAUAUGCAGCCCCAUGGGGGAGGGGCAGAGGGAGCAGGAAUUGGGCUGGGACCAUGGGAGCAGCUGGUGACCAUGAACCGUGUGCCAGGCAUUAUACAGAGCUCUGGGUCUCUAAUCUCUCCUUGCCUCAUUGAAUCAGUCCUCUCCAGACCUUACGACUGAGAGAGAAAAAAAGGAAUUAGUAUUUAGACAAUACUCAAGUGGAAAUCCAGAGGGCCGGUUCCAGAUCCAGCUGUUUCUUGUUGGCUGUAUGAUCUUGAUGCAGUACAUUAACUUUUGAAAUAUUCAUUUCCUCAUUGUUAAAUGAGAAGUCAGAACUAGAUUUGGCAUGGUGAAUACCCCAGAGGUGUGUCCCUUCCCUAUAGGUCCUCUACAGCAGACAUUAGUAAUCAAUCACUCUCCACUUCUCUUCCCAGCUGGUUACCUGAGCCUCCCUCACAGACCACUCAUUUGGGAUUGGGUACAAGAUACAAGUUAUUUGUCAUCUGCGAC
rnacentral:lncRNA from 1 species